rnacentral:rRNA from 1 species
GAUGAACGCUGGCGGCGUGCCUAAUACAUGCAAGUCGAGCGAACGGACGAAUAGCUUGCUUCUCUGAUGUUAGCGGCGGACGGGUGAGUAACACGUGGAUAACCUACCUAUAAGACUGGGAUAACUUCGGGAAACCGGAGCUAAUACCGGAUAAUAUUUUGAACCGCAUGGUUCAAAAGUGAAAGACGGUCUUGCUGUCACUUAUAGAUGGAUCCGCGCUGCAUUAGCUAGUUGGUAAGGUAACGGCUUACCAAGGCAACGAUGCAUAGCCGACCUGAGAGGGUGAUCGGCCACACUGGAACUGAGACACGGUCCAGACUCCUACGGGAGGCAGCAGUAGGGAAUCUUCCGCAAUGGGCGAAAGCCUGACGGAGCAACGCCGCGUGAGUGAUGAAGGUCUUCGGAUCGUAAAACUCUGUUAUUAGGGAAGAACAUAUGUGUAAGUAACUGUGCACAUCUUGACGGUACCUAAUCAGAAAGCCACGGCUAACUACGUG